rnacentral:lncRNA from 1 species
CGUGGACUGGCAGGCACUCCCCUAUUCGGUUCUGCGUGAGCUCCGCAAGGCGGUUCGCGAGACCGGGGUGCGGUCUACUUUCACCCUGGGGAUCUUGGAAGGUGUGUCGAACGGCUAUUGGUUAGUCCCCCAAGACUGGAAAGAUGUGUGCCGCAUGGUGCUGUCUCCCGCGCAAUACGUUGUGUGGGAUAGCGAGUACCAGCGAGAGGCGCUUGCGGCGGCCUCACAGAGUGGGGGGGCCUAUUUCGCUGAGCAGUUAUAUGGCAUGGGACAGUUUUCGAGCAUCCCCCAGCAGGCGGUGGGCACGCCCCAAGCGGCUUAUCCCAUUAUUGGUCAGUGCGUCCGUCGGGCGUUUCGUAGGGUCCCCGCUACGGGCGAGUCCUCUAAGUCUUUCGCGGUUACUCAGCAGGGUGCCGCCGAACCGUUCCAUCAGUUUAUUGACCGCCUCCAAGAGGCAGUCCAAAGGCAGAUCGACAACCCGGAGGUUGAGAAAGCUGGCUUAUGAAAACGCCAAUGCAGAUUGCCACCGUGCAAUGCAGGCAGUGGUCGGGCGCCCGGAGUACACCCUGGCACAGUUGCUACAGGCGUGUGCUGACGUAGGCACUCGGACCCAUCAGAUGGCCUUAUUGGCUGCUGCCCUGCACAAGGGGCAGAAGCCUCAGGGGAACUGCUUUAAUUGCCAAAAGCCCGGGCAUUUUCGGCGGGAGUGCCGGGCCCCCGGGGGGGGGGGGUGCCGAAACAAACCCCAAGCAGGCCAGAGGCCCCACACGUUGUGUCCCAAAUGCAAAAAGGGCUACCAUUGGGCGGCGCAGUGUCGCUCAGCCAGGGGUGACAAUCGGGCCCUAACAACCAGCCAGGACAACCCCCCGGGAAAUUUGUAGUCGGGCCUGCGACCAGCCCGAGGCCAAAGGCCGCGCCCCUCUCCAUGCACGAUGUUCCCGCCGUCCAAGGGGCAGUGCGGGGAUUGACCUUGUCAAUCAGAAAAAUAUGGAUAUAACUCUCCCUGGGGAGGUCCUCCUUAUGCCGUCUCAAAUUCAG